rnacentral:rRNA from 1 species
AAAUUUGAAAUCUGGCCCUGGGCCCGAAUUGUAAUUUGGAGAAGGUGCUUCGGGUGCGACUGCGGUCCAUGUCCCUUGGAACAGGGCGUCCCAGAGGGUGAGAAUCCCGUCGGUGGCCGAUCGUCAAACCCUUGUGAAGCCCUUUCGACGAGUCGAGUUGUUUGGGAAUGCAGCUCUAAACGGGUGGUAAAUUUCAUCUAAAGCUAAAUAUCUGCUCGAGACCGAUAGCGCACAAGUAGAGUGAUCGAAAGAUGAAAAGCACUUUGAAAAGAGAGUCAAACAGUACGUGAAAUUGUUGAAAGGGAAGGGCUUGCAACCAGACUCGCACGCGGGUGUUCAGCCACCCCCCCGGGGUGGUGUACUCUCCCGCGAUCGGGCCAGCAUCGAUUCUGGCGGUCGGACAAAGGCUUUGGGAAUGUGGCUCCCUUUUGGGGGAGUGUUAUAGCCCGGAGUGAAAUGCGGCCUGCUGGGAUCGAGGACCGCGCAUUUGCUAGGAUGCUGGCGUAAUGGUUGCCAGCCGCCCGUCUUGAAACACGGACCAAGGAGUCGACCAACCGCGCGAGUGUUUGGGCGUCAAACCCAUGCGCGUAAUGAAAGUGAACGGAGGUGGGAGCCUUCGGGUGCACCAUCGACCGAUCCUGAUGUCUUCGGAUGGAUUUGAGUAUGAGCCCGGCUGGUCGGACCCGAAAGGUAAGCUUAUUUCAAAGUUUUGGUUAUCUGUGCUAACAAGCCGUCUGCAGAUGGUGAACUAUGCGUGAAUAGGGUGAAGCCAGAGGAAACUCUGGUGGAGGCUCGCAGCGGUUCUGACGUGCAAAUCGAUCGUCAAAUUUGCGCAUAGGGGCGAAAGACUAAUCGAACCGUCUAGUUGCUGGUUCCCGUCGAAGUUUCCCUCAGGAUAGCAGCAACGGGAACAGUCUCAUGAGGUAGAGCAAACGAUUAGAGGCCUUGGGGUUGAAACAACCUUAACCUAUUCUCGAA